GAAGCCAUCUUCGGAUGGUGGAAACUGGCGCACGGGUGAGUAACGCGUGGGUAUCUACCUCGGGGUGGGGAAUAACCGCUGGAAACGGCGGCUAAUACCGCAUACGCCUUAAGAGGGAAAGCUCCGGCGCCCUGAGAGGAGCCCGCGUUGGAUUAGCUUGUUGGUGGGGUAACGGCCCACCAAGGCGACGAUCUAUAGCUGGUCUGAGAGAAUGAUCAGCCACACUGGGACUGAGACACGGCCCAGACUCCUACGGGAGGCAGCAGUGGGGAAUAUUGGACAAUGGGCGCAAGCCUGAUCCAGCCAUGCCGCGUGAGUGAAGAGGGCCUUAGGGUUGUAAAGCUCUUUCACCUGCGAAGAUGAUGACGGUAGCAGGAGAAGAAGCCCCGGCUAACUCCGUGCCAGCAGCCGCGGUAAUACGGAGGGGGCAAGCGUUGUUCGGAAUUACUGGGCGUAAAGGGCGCGUAGGCGGUAUGCCAUGUCAGGGGUGAAAGGCCUGGGCUCAACCCAGGAAUUGCCUUUGAAACUGGCAAACUAGAGUCCGAUAGAGGAUGGCGGAAUUCCCAGUGUAGAGGUGAAAUUCGUAGAUAUUGGGAAGAACACCAGUGGCGAAGGCGGCCAUCUGGAUCGGCACUGACGCUGA
rnacentral:rRNA from 1 species